UACGUAGGGUGCUAGCGUUGUCCGGAUUUAUUGGGCGUAAAGAGCUCGUAGGCGGUGUGUCGCGUCGGCCGUGAAAACCCGCAGCUCAACUGCGGGCUUGCGGACGAUACGGGCAGGCUGGAGUUCGGUAGGGGAGACUGGAAUUCCUGGUGUAGCGGUGAAAUGCGCAGAUAUCAGGAGGAACACCGGUGGCGAAGGCGGGUCUCUGGGCCGAUACUGACGCUGAGGAGCGAAAGCGUGGGGAGCGAACAGG
rnacentral:rRNA from 1 species